CAGUAGCCGCGGUAAUACGUAGGGUGCAAGCGUUAAUCGGAAUUACUGGGCGUAAAGCGUGCGCAGGCGGUUCUAUAGGACAGAUGUGAAAUCCCCGGGCUCAACCUGGGAACUGCAUUUGUGACUGUAGAGCUGGAGUGCGGCAGAGGGGGAUGGAAUUCCGCGUGUAGCAGUGAAAUGCGUAGAUAUGCGGAGGAACACCGAUGGCGAAGGCAAUCCCCUGGGCCUGCACUGACGCUCAUGCACGAAAGCGUGGGGAGCAAACAGGAUUAGAUACCCCCGUAGUCCCUGUCUCUUAUAC
rnacentral:rRNA from 1 species